rnacentral:tRNA from 1 species
GCAGAAGUAGCUCAGCCUUUAGAGCGCCGGUCUUGUAAGCCGGACGUCGGGGGUUAAACUCCCCCCUCCUGCU